rnacentral:rRNA from 1 species
AUUGAACGCUAGCGGGAUGCCUUACACAUGCAAGUCGAACGAGUGGCGAACGGGUGAGUAUUGUAUCGGGACGUGCCCCGUAGCGGGGGAUAAAUACGCGGAACGUAGCUAAUACCGCAUACUGUUGGAUCGGCCUAUUUUGUAUUAGCUAGUUGGUGGGGUAAUGGCUCACCAAGGCGACGAUGCGUAACUGGUUUGAGAGGAAGACCAUCAACUCGGGGAAUGGGACACGGCCCAGACUCGGAAGGGAGGCAGCAGUGGGGAAUUUGGGACAAUGGGCGAAACCCUGAUCCAGCCAUCCCGCGUGUGCGAGGAGGGCCUUCGGGGUGUAAAGCACGAUUGGCAGGGAAGCGGUACCUGCAGAAUAAGCACCGGCUAACUACGUGCCAGCAGCCGCGGUAAUUC